UGGCUUCCAAAGGACGGAGUUUCAAAUCCUAUUUAAAGCCAAGCCUCUGGCCUAGCAAAAUCACUCUGUCUGCAGUUGCUGCCUGGCUUCCUUCUGGCCUGCUGUUGCUGCUAGCAUGGAAAGAAAAAAAUUGCUGCCUCCCCUGAUCUGAGCCUUGUCUUCUUAAGAGCUGCUUCCAAACAGAAAUGGUGUGCCUCCAGUUUUAAUACAGAAGAAAAACUGAGGGACUCCAAGAGAAAUGAAGGCUACUAACCCAGUCAUUUUUUAAAAAAAAGUCAAACACUGUCUAAGAUGUUUGGGGGCAAUAUAAAGCUGAUGGCCCCAUCCAUUAGCUUGGCUGGGACCCACUGCCAGAACUCUCCCAGACCCUCCCAGAACUGUUUCCUGCAGUGACCAAUGGCCAUUUCAUCUGCUCAUUAUGUAACAGUAUGAAAGAGUCAGUACCUGAAUUUGCUUAUUUUUCCUUCCUUUCCAUAUCAUGUUUCUUAGACUAUAAGGCAUUAUUUUAAGUGGCAAACCACCUUGGAUGAAAGGCUGCAAUUCUCUGUACAUUUACUCUAGAGUAGGUCCCAAAUGAACUCUGUGAGACUUACUUCUGCGUAAGCAUGCAUAGGAUUAUGUUGCACACAAUGUUGUUGAUAUCAUAUUUGGCCCUAAAACACUGCACAGAUAAGCUCCACUGAAAAAAGCACCUAUUUCAAAAUGCAUGUAUGUCUAGAACAACUGGGAUAUAAUUGCUGAAAUGUUUAGAAAUGUGUUUCUCUUGCCUAAUAAAAUCUUUAUUUCACUA